rnacentral:lncRNA from 10 species
GAGAGGAAGAUGGUUUCUUGCAAUUUAACAGCUUCACAACGGGUUUAGAGAGCAUCCCAAUGUCUACUCCCAACCCUAACCACACAUCUUCACCCCUGCCAGGUCAAAAAAUACAGAAAAGAAAGAAUCUACCACAGAUACCCUUUUAUUAGAUCAGAAGAGAGAAAGCUUGUAGACGCCUCGUGAACUCACCCCUUCCACUGCGAAGUGCCAGACCCUGGGCUGGACACCGUGGGAGAGGCCAGCUGGGUCAUCAGGGCCAGGAGGAAGCGUGGACAUCUUCCAUUCCAUGGAUCUGCUUAGCAUUUGACAGGGAGACACUGCUUUGGAGAAUCCUCCCAGGGCUCUUCUUACCUGUGGCGAGUCAUAAAACUCCUACUGAUCCAA